rnacentral:lncRNA from 1 species
UAGUCACCAUGAAAUUCUAUCUACUUGUUUCGCUCAUACUUAUAGCUGGCUUUGUGCCAAAUGAAGUUGAAAGUAUAUAUAGUAUAUUCGGGAGAGUUGGUGGAGGGGCAGGAGGAUUUUCACCUUCAGAUGAUAGGUGUUCUUGUUGCUACGAUAGAGUACGUCGUUUUGGGUGCUGUGUUCCAACAUGUGCUGAUUAUUAACUGAAACCUGUUGACGGAAAAAUUAAAUUCUUAACUAUGAUAUACGUUUUCAAAAUCUGUAACUCUUUAUCUGAUAGGAAUUCAACAUUAAAACAGUUGUUUGUCUUUUGG